rnacentral:rRNA from 1 species
GACGAACGCUGGCGGCGUGCUUAACACAUGCAAGUCGAACGGAAAGGCCUUUUCGGUGGUACUCGAGUGGCGCACGGGUGAGUAACACGUGGGUGAUCUGCCCUGCACUCUGGGAUAAGCCUGGGAAACUGGGUCUAAUACCGGAUAGGACCGCACUUUAGUGUGUGUGGUGGAAAGUUUUUUCGGUGUAGGAUGAGCCCGCGGCCUAUCAGCUUGUUGGUGGGGUAAUGGCCUACCAAGGCGGCGACGGGUAGCCGGACUGAGAGGUUGGUCGGCCACAUUGGGACUGAGAUACGGCCCAGACCCCUACGGGAGGCAGCAGUGGGGAAUAUUGCACAAUGGGCGCAAGCCUGAUGCAGGGACGCCGCGGGGGGGAUGACGGCCUUCGGGUUGUAAACUCCUUUCGCCAGGGACGAAGCGUUUUGUGACGGUACCUGGAGAAGAAGCACCGGCUAACUACGUG